GCUGUGGAGAUAGAGCAUUGAACAUAUACGAAAGGGCUGUUUCUGACAGGCCCUGCCUGUGUCCUGCCCUGGUAUGCCCUUAGAGCUGGUGCCAGGGUGCAGACCCAGGAGAGCAUGUGCAUGGCGGUGUGGGACACUGGAGGCUCUGCUUUUCCCCAGGGACAGAGGCGGCAUGUGCUCUGCCCACCUGUCACUCUCAGGUCCCAGCCCAGUCCUGUCUGCACCCUCAGGGGAGCAUGCCUGAGAAGGAUGGGACUUGCAUGCCAUCUCUGUGAGUCUCGAGUGGAGUCCACGUGUGCUGACCGGGCUGCUGCCCAUUUUACAGAUGGCCCCUUCGGAAGGCACUGUGACGCAGAUAGGGCUCCUCUCCCAAGACAUUCACCGCCUCACGACCAUGCUGAGCCAGGACCAGAUGCUGAACGACUCUCACCUGGCUGCUCCCAGCUCUGAGGACUGGAGAUGACUUCUUCAUGGCAGAGAGCCGAGAGAGGAACGUGGGGCCCGAGGCUUUCAGUGGGGAGCUGGCACACAGCCACUGCAGAGCCCAGGCUGAGGCAGGCAGGGCGUCUCGGAUGUGGGUGCUUACAGGAGGGAUGUAGGGCUGUGGACAGAUGUCAAGGAGGUGGCCUGGCCCCAGCACCCGUUUUCAACUGUGCUGUGCUCUUCGCCACAGCUUUCAUACCUUUUGUACCUUUAUAUGUGACUGCAGACCACUUUUGUGUGGAGGCAGUGAGGUCAGCGCAGCCGCAAUGGUUUGUGCUGUUCCUGGUGAUAGCUGGGAGGCCCUUACACCAAAGAGGCAGGGCUGUGUGCUUAAAAGCUCUGCUGGAAGCAAAGUUCUGGAAAAAUGUUCUGAAUGUUCUGUAGUGACUGAGCUGGGUGAGAUGAUAACAGGAGUCCCCUCCCUGGGCUGCUUCCAGACAGAA